AUAAAAGGAAAACACACACACACACACACUUGGUGUGUGCGUGGAACGAGCAGGAAGAAGAAGAACAAGGGUUCAAACCCUUGUUCUUGAUAAAUCAUCAAAUUGAAGGGUGGAAUGAGGUCCAAAUUCACAACUGAACAUGAAUUAACGAUCACCUUCGCAAGGGGAUCAUAAGGAAUCAUGUCAAGAUGGAUGGGAGCUUUGAAGGCUAACGGGCUAAGAGGACUCAGUCAAGUAAGCGAACGAGAAUACGGACGCGCAAGGCUAUACAUGUUGGAUGUUUCAUCUAGAAGCGUACGCGGUUGAAGAUCGAGUCAAGACACGGAUUGUAUGUGGGUGUAUACGUAGUCACUUAAUUGAGUCAUGUAUG